rnacentral:rRNA from 1 species
UACAGAGGGUGCAAGCGUUAAUCGGAAUUACUGGGCGUAAAGCGUGCGUAGACGGUUACAUAAGUCGGGUGUGAAAGCCCCGGGCUCAACCUGGGAAUUGCAUUCGAGACUGCGUAGCUAGGGUGCGGAAGAGGGAAGCGGAAUUUCCGGUGUAGCGGUGAAAUGCGUAGAUAUCGGAAGGAACACCAGUGGCGAAGGCGGCACUCUGGGCCGGAACUGACGCUGAGGAGCGAAAGCGUGGGGGGCGAACAGG